rnacentral:misc_RNA from 1 species
GUGGAUUGAGUCUGAAGUAGGAAUUACUAAUGAGAUAUCUGGUUUCUUUAGCAGAAUCUAUACAAGCUCUAGUACUGUAGGGGAGGAUGAAGUUGCUGCUGUACUUCCAAACAUAGUUCCUCAAGAGUUGAAUGAGCAGGUUGGCCCAAGUUUCGGAAGAGGAAAUCAAAGAUGCUGUUUUUUAUUUGGGAUGAAAGAACGCGCCAGGACCAGAUGGUUUUCCUGGUUU